rnacentral:lncRNA from 1 species
AUAAUAUAGUCAUUAGUCAAAAACCUUGAAUUAAUAAAAUAUUUUUAGUCUUAAAAAAUUGGAUACAUGCACCACCUACCAAUAUAUAUAAAUACCAACAACCUCUAGUAAGAUAUACAAAUUAAGCCUCAAAUUGAUAAUUUCAACACACCAUGAGGGCUCUUAAUAACAUUGUUUUAGUAUUCUUACUACUUCUUACCAUAAUUCAUGUGCGACCAAACCUUGGUGUUAGGGUUUUGAACAUGAAAGAGCUUAGGUUGCAAGCUCUUGAUAAGGGUCCUGUGGCUCCAUCUGGACCUUCUGGCUGUACAUUUAUCCCAGGAAGUGGUGGUACACACUGUCCCAUUGAGGAAAGGAAUGUUGCUGGCCAUACUAAGCAUCAUCAUAGUAGUGCUUCCACAUGAAAUUAAAGAGAUAUAGUUUGUAUAUAUAUUUGUGUGACAAAUGAUUCAUUGGUUUAUUUAUCUAUUUUUCAUUUUUGAUUCAAUUGUAUAAUAAUUGUUUGUGUGUCAUAUGAUUCAAUUGUAUAAUAAUUGUUUGUUCUAUAUAUUUUUAUGGAUUUUCGAUUGUUGGAUGUUUGGGUGUUCUAUAUAUUAAGUUACAAUAUUAUUUAUAAAAAAAUCAUAAUGAAAAUUGUUUUGGCAUUUCACUCUCAAUAUAUAUAAUGACUAAAUGAUUAAUUCAUUCAACUAGGAGAUGAAUCGAAAAAAUAAUUACCUAAACUCUCAAAUACGGAGUGUAUGGAUUCCAAUAAUUAAAUUAUCCUUCGAAGGAAUAUAGCCAUGUUCAAAUAAGUAUUAGCAAAAAUGUACAGAAUGCAAUAUUUAAAGAGAAAUCAUGAAACCAAUUAGAUAAAUGAAAUAGUUGAUUAAAAAAUUAUCUGAAGUAAUGAAGCUUGUCUCAUAAUUAUA